rnacentral:rRNA from 1 species
UUUCCAGACUCCUACGGGAGGCAGCAGUGGGGAAUAUUGCACAAUGGGGGGAACCCUGAUGCAGCGACGCCGCGUGGGUGAAGGAGCACCUCGGUGCGUAAAGCCCUAUCGGCAGGGAAGAAACAGACGGUACCUGACUAAGAAGCCCCGGCUAACUACGUGCCAGCAGCCGCGGUAAUACGUAGGGGGCAAGCGUUAUCCGGAGUCACUGGGUGUAAAGGGAGCGUAGACGGCGACGCAAGUCUGGAGUGAAAGCCCGGGGCCCAACCCCGGGACUGCUCUGGAAACUGCGGCGCUGGAGUACGGGAGGGGCAGGCGGAAUUCCUGGUGUAGCGGUGAAAUGCGUAGAUAUUAGGAGGAACACCAGUGGCGAAGGCGGCCUGCUGGGCUUUAACUGACGCUGGGGCUCGAAAGCGUGGGGAGCAAGCAGGAUUAGAUACCCUAGUAUA